UCCAGCUCUGCUCUCCCAGUGAUCACUGGAUGUCCACAGUGGGAAGUCGUCAGCUCCUGGUGGGUGGUGGUGAUGACAUAGGUUGAAGUAACCCCGCAGAACCAGCACUUUGGUGGAGGAAGAAACAUCCUGAAAAAAAAGGAGAUUGGAGUUUUUUUUCUCCUUCUCUGAAGUAACUACAAUGUCCCCCCUGCCUUGUUCUGAGAGUGUCCUGAAACCCAAUGAAUAACACCCAGAUAUUUUCAACACACCAAGCCACAGGAGAACUGCCUUGUGUGAGGUCUAUCAAGCUUCCAGUCUGAAGCCAUGGGGCCCCCCUGCGGUGUCCCUGUAUGCCCUCUUCUCACUAAGUGAAACCACAUCACAUCCGUGACAUGACGCAUUCAUUUGAAGACAUUAUAUGUGAAUUUUAACUAAAUGAACAACUGGUUUGUAAUAUACAACUAUUUGAUCUUCUAUGUGUAAAUGUGUGUUAAGUGUGAGGGCAACUUUAGUAAAGAGAGCAAAUAAAGGGGUCAAGAUGGCACAGCAAGGAACUUUAUAGCCCAGAGCCGUAAAGUAAACA